rnacentral:rRNA from 1 species
AUUGAACGCUGGCGGCAGGCCUAACACAUGCAAGUCGAACGAGCGGCGGACGGGUGAGUAAUGUCUGGGAAACUGCCUGAUGGAGGGGGAUAACUACUGGAAACGGUAGCUAAUACCGCAUACCAUCGGAUGUGCCCAUAUGGGAUUAGCUAGUAGGUGGGGUAAAGGCUCACCUAGGCGACGAUCCCUAGCUGGUCUGAGAGGAUGACCAGCCACACGGGAACUGAUACACGGCCCAGACUCCGACGUGAGGCAGCAGUGGGGAAGAUUGCACAAUGGGCGCAAGCCUGAUGCAGCCAUGCCGCGUGUAUGAAGAAGGCCUUCGGGUUGUAAAGUACUUUCAGCGGGGAGGCGUUACCCGCAGAAGAAGCACCGGCUAACUCCGUGCCAGCAGCCGCGGUAAUAC